rnacentral:misc_RNA from 1 species
GCACAGUUUUCCAGCAGUCAACACUGCCCAUGAAUGAAGUGGAAAGUAAGCUCUCGUCUCACUCAAAUACAGAAACCUCUCCAUUCCAACCACAUGAAGCAAUUACAUUGGGCAUUAUUGGAUGGAAAGCAACAUCAAUGCAGGCCUGCUCAUACGCCUUGAUUUUCUUGAUAAUAUCUGAUGAUCUAUAGUUGUACAAG